rnacentral:rRNA from 1 species
CCCUUAGAUGUUCUGGGCCGCACGCGCGCUACACUGAUGCAUGCAGCAAGUCUUUUCCUUGGCCGAGAGGCCUGGGCAAUCUUUGAAUAUGCAUCGUGAUGGGGAUAGACGAUUGCAAUUAUUCGUCUUCAACGAGGAAUUCCUAGUAAACGCAAGUCAUCAGCUUGCAUUGAUUACGUCCCCGCCCUUUGUACACACCGCCCGUCGCACCUACCGAUUGAAUGGUCCGGUGAAGGCUCCGGAGGCGUCUUUCUCAAUGUUUAUUCGGCGAGAUUGGUGCCAAAGUUGAAUGAACCUUACCAUUUAGAGGAAGGUGAAGUCGUAACA